UCUUGGAAGAGCUGAAGGAACAAUAAAGCACAAGAGUGACAGAAGUCCUCAUGGGGGUGACACCAGACCGAUUCUGGGAAAUUCUACGUGGAUCUGAGGACGUCACACUUCCUGUUCCGGCCCUGAUGACACCACUUCCUGUCCUCUUUUAAAACUGCCAUCUUUGCCUCAUCAAGACAGUUCUGUUCUGGACUCAAUUCUGUACUCAACUGUACUCAACACUGCAGCCAGGAAACAAUAUACGGGUGGCUCUCCCAACUCUU